rnacentral:lncRNA from 1 species
GGCUGACGCGCCACUAUGUAGCGGGUUUCGGGCGGGCCACGCGUGCGGGACAGGAACCCAACCCCAGCCGACCUUGAGCUCCAGGAGUUCGUCUCUUACGUCUGCGGAAGUGCAGCUGCCUCAGUUCUUAGCGCAGGUUGACAACUACAGGCACAAGCCAUUGAAGCUGGAAUGUCCUGUUGCUGGUAUUUCAAUUGACUUAAGCCAACUAUCCCUUCAGUUACAAUAGGAAAGUGCUUCAUGUUCACCUUUUCAACCUUUUCAUUUAAUUG